AGUAAUAUGAUAGUGGUGGUAAUCUAUUUAUAUAUAAAAAGUAUUUGAUGGGUUAACCAGAAAAAAGAGAAUAUGCUAAAAAAUUCCCACAAAAAUUAGAAACAUCUGACCAUUAAACUUUUAAGUCAUGUAAUUACAACCAUUAGAUCAUCCAAAGUCUUACUUGGUCAAAAUUACCCACCUAUGCCAUGGAAACAUAUACUUAUGACCUAGAAUAUUGUUCUCCCCGUCCUAGAUUGAAAAGAAAAAUAUCCCUAUUCCAUGUUGUCAAAUCGCCGCCAGACGGCGGCCGUCCUCCCGUACGUGAUUGAGAAGGGUGCCCGUUCCAUGAGUUUAUCAAGUUGCCGCCGGCCGAUUGGUCGUCCUCCCGUCCGUAAAUGAAAAGAAGAAAAUCAUAUCCCAGUUGUCAAGUCGCCGACGGCUGGCUGCGCCUAAGGCAUGGUCGCUUGAGCAGCCAUGCACCGCUGGCUCUCUGGAGCAGAUGAUUACUUCAUUCUAAUAAGGUCUUGCUCCUAGCUACAAUCUGCGUGCUUGAUGAUUGAAAAGCAAUAGCGGUGAAAUCAAGUUGAUCUAUGUUUGUUAAAAAAAAGGUUAAUCUACAUCUCGGUGGCUAUCCAUCAUGCAUCUCAACUCAGCAGAUCGGCAUUUUAUCAUAUACCAUACACCUCAACUCAGCAGAUCAGUAGGUUACACACGAUUGAUGGGCUCAAAGCCUAUCCUUCAUGCACGCUAGCACCGUCGGGUGAAUAGAGUUGUGCAUGCCCACUGUCAGCCAGCUAGAGGGAGAUUAGAAGACCAACCAUGUGAGAGUUGAGACUUGAGAUACACACCAUACACAUACCCUGUAAGUGGCCAUAAUUCGACCUCUUCAUCAAGGACGAUAUUGAGGUUGGAGCUUUACUACUCUUUCCCGCCAACAGCGAGGUAACAUUUCCUUUUUCUCUCCCCACGUCCAAUCCAAUCGUUCCCAGUUCAUGUAACUCCUUAUUUCUGCUGUAGGGCAACACGCUGCAAGUGUUCGUCAAAUUGUUAGUAUCAAUGCCUCAAUUCUAACAGAGAAUUUUCCGUAGGAGCACAUAGCAUUAAUCAAGAAUCAACUCGGCAAUUUUUGGAUCAGACAAGGUAACUAAUCUAAUAAAUUCCCCCUGUGUAUGCUGCAAUACAGUAAUGUUUUACUUUAGUUAAGUUGGUACUUCAAAAUGAUGAUCUUUUCACAAGGUGUGAUGUGGUCACAUAUUUACCUAGAUCUACCUUCUAAAUCAUAAUCCGUUUAAUAUGGAGAUAUCUAUUUGCACAUUCAGAGAUAAUUACAUUAAUGUAAAAACAGGGCUACCCUCCUUAAGCAUAUUUAUUAAAAGAUCAAUUAUCUAUUUAUUGGAUCGGUCCAUAUUAAUGAUGCUCUAUUUGCAUUGAAAAUAGCUUGGUUGUGAAAGAUGAUAUAUCUUGGCAAUUGGGCAUAGUGACUAAAAAGUCUAUAAAUGUUAGAUGUCUAGGAAUGUUGCGAAAUUCUUUUAUUUACUAGAUAUAAAAUUAUCCAUCCAUUAUUUUCUGUUUAUAUGCCAACUCUGGGCAAUCGAAGAACUUUUUCCACUCCUUUCUAAAAGGUAUGCCCAAGUUAUUUUUCUGUAACUAUACACUAGAACACACACACACACACACACACACACACCUGACUAUGUUCCUGGAGGUGAGCAUAUAUGUUUAAGCUCAUGUCAGUUGCAGCAUUUCCUUGAUUCGACAUUUAUAUAAUGAUGCAGUGGUCAUAUUUGGAAGCUCAUUCCUGUAAACUACUACUCCUUCCUAUCCAAAAUAAUUAUUGCAGUUUUGAACAGGGUUUAGUUCAAAACUGUGAUACGUUUUAUGGAUCGGAGGUAGUACUCCCUCCGUCCGGGAAUACUUGUCAUCAAAAUGGAUAAAAGGGGAUGUAUCUAGAUGUAUUUUAGUUCGAGAUACAUCUCUUUUUAUCCAUUUUGAUGACAAGUAUUUUCGGACGGAGGGAGUAUGAUGCAUGUCCGCUGUUUAGAAUUGAUUGCAUUGUUUAAUAGUAACUGAUAUAUUUCCGAACUCCUUUCGGAUGUAGCAGCAAGAAGAUAAGGCACUCCACAGAAAAAAAUACAAUCUACUCUAAGGGUUUUAGUUCUAAAUAUGACAGAUAUGUUUUUCAUGGUGUAGAAUUAAAAAUCUAUUGGUGUUGGAAAUGCGACAUUGGGAUCCCAAUCCCUUGCUUUUAUUUGUAACGCCCAUGGUGAUCAAACCCUAAAGAUCUACAAACCACCUCAAGAUAGCUACAUGUACGUGGUUGUAAAACACUUCUUUUGGCAUAAGCAUUUAAUAUGAAAUGGCUGACAUAAUGCAAUGCUUUUUCAUAACUUCAAUGAACUUUUCUGAACUAGAGAUUCAGAUCAAGAAAUUCAGUGGCUAAGAAAUUCAAUUACGAUUAAAAUAAAAAAAAAGUAUUUGCGGCUUUACAACAGAUAAAAACUGGAACAUACACCUAUGCAUUUAGAAGUUGUGCUCACAAUCUUUCUUUUAUUUGGAGGGAUGCAUAGUCUAGACUUGCGCAAUAUUGUCUUUCAUUUUUCUUUUCUAACAUUCCCAUAAAUGUUAAAUAUCAAAUGAUUGUUACCAGCUUGCAUUAGAGUUUGAAAAGUGUGCUAUAUGCAGAUUUUCUUAUUGGCUAAUUAGAGUGCACCAAAUGUAAUUUUCCAAUAAAUAUUGCUAUUUCAAAGAGAGAUGGUGGUAUGUUGUUUUCCAUGUACAUCAAUAUGGUUGUGGUUAAUUCUGUUCUAUAAGAAGUCUCUUGAUGGGUACCAAUCCAUGUUUUAUUUUCAGAUUCAGGACCGUGCAUGCUUCUCACCUUAAUAGACACAUGACAUUAAUCAAGCAUAUUUGUGCAUGUUUCCACAAUAAGGUAUACAUAAUUUAGACUGGGGUAUAUAUGCCAGGUUAGUUUAUCCUAUGGUUUAAACCUUUAUUUGGUAGGUAUCAGUCAUCUGAAGACAUGCGGGUGAAAAUAUUUGGUGACCAAGCCGGGCUGCCUUUGUCGAUGAUGAAGAGAAAUUUUUGGGCUGCCUCGAUUUGGGACAGUGAUGACGUCCGAGUUGGAUCUUGGGGAUGACAAAACCCCUACAUGCAUGCCGGUGGCAAAAGCGCCGCCGACUGAGUUAUCAUGUGUGCACAAACAUAUACUUAUAUUCUUUUUAAUUUCACUCACUAAUUAUUAUCUCUCUCACUAACAACACUUAUUGAGCCCAAAUAAUUACAUGUUUUCCAAGAUUUUAACAUUUUUCACUAACAGGCAUUUCCUUAAUUACGUUAUACUAUUGGUUCAGUCACAGAAACAAAGGAAGCGGUUAUGAAAAAAAGUAUGACAGUCAGGAAAAGGAAAAAGGGGACCUUCAAAGUUCAAAGAAUGUUGCCGAUGUGGAGGAUGUGUCUGGCCGGCGCUGGGGCAGAAAACGACUACACUAUCCUCAUACUAAAGAUGGAUCAAAGCAGCUGUGGGAGAAGAAAUCCACGGCAAAAUCACCUGCACGGAUAUUGACAGCAACAACACCGUGCAGCUUGAUGAUCUCACCUCCUCCCUUGCGCAGCUACACCUUGGGCCUGCUACCCCUCCAUCGCCAUUACCAGCCUAGGAGGAGACCGAGGAGGCGUACGAGGAGACAAACAAGCCACCGUCGAAGUUCACCCUAUGGCCGCACAGGCGAAUCGAGCUGCGGGGGUGGCUACAGGUGAGGACAAGCAAGCUCAAGGGAGGGAAUCAAGGAAUCAAGCUGAUGGGAGCUACCGGAAGCAGAAAUUUUGGAGUGAGAAAGGGGAUCGGGCAAGGGCAAGACCAAGAGCAACAUGUGUAUGUGUGAAAGCGUGAAUGGGAAAGAGGAUUUCAUUUUAUGUGUCGGAAAGAUGUGUGGUCGCUAAGUACAUCUGAGUGAGCCUGCUUGGUUAAAUCUCAUAAUAUUCCACUAGCAGAAAAAAAAGAACUUUUCCAAAAGCAACACAAAAAAAUACUCGGAACAGAAGACUACAUAAAAGGGAA
rnacentral:lncRNA from 1 species